rnacentral:lncRNA from 1 species
AGUCGCGCCACGGGUCGCCACUCACUGUCGCAGGAGGAAGGGUGCUGUCCCGCGCGGGUGCUGAGACCUCAUUCCGGAGAGGCGGCGGGAGGAAGGGCUUUGAUGGGUUCUUCCGUCCCGGCCCCACAAGGCUGGGACGAAAAGCAAAACCCAGUCAGCAUCCCGUUGAGCCUCUGCCGCCCCUGCUUGUCUCUCCUCCCCCGCUCUCAAAAAUGGCGGCUCUCGGGGCGCGGAAGAAAGCAUCGAUCGUUCGGCGCUCUGCCCACUUGGCGGGGCGAAACUAAACUCGCCGAGGAAAGAUAAGGGGGCGGGGCUGACGUUGAGAAAGCUGGAGGGCAGGGAAAUGGGCCGAGUCCUGCAUCAUCCACCGAGUGGGGGCUGUGGAUAGGUGCGGCGCUGCUUCCCUGGAGGGAAACGCUCCAUCUUGCGGGCCGAAGCGCGAGUGCUGCUCUGUGACAGCCUCCGGCCGCGGCCUUCCCAGCUGCUACCGCCGCUUUUCGGAUGGGCUGUGAUAGAUGGAGUAGCAGCGAAGACUGCUAGAAGAGCGUUUUCAGUCGGCCUUUAGUGAUUCGUAAAACCAAAUUAGCUGGUUUCUACUUGGAAGGGGUACAGAAGAUCAAACUCUCCCAAAAAGUAGAGAUUAAACAACAACUAAAGAUGGCGAAUCAUAGAAGAGAACAAUAGAGUGAAGAAAAAGGAUGUUUAAGCCUAAAUCCAAGACUGAGGUACAAGACCAAGAAAAGUGGGGCAGAAGAUGGAAAAGAACAAGUGAAGAAUCUUGGAAACAAUUCAAAGGCCAACCCUGCUUAUUCCUGUAAACCAACCAGUGAUCUCUGGCUGCUGCUUAGAAGAAACAAGAGGGAUGGCUAAUUAAACAGGUUGAAGUAAAGGAGCCAGCCCAAACCCACCAAAACCAAAAUGGUGACGAGAGUGACAUCUGGUCGUCCUCACUGCUACACUCCCACCAGCACCACGACAGUUUACAAAUUCUAUGACAAUGUCAGGAAGUUACCCUAUGUGGUCUAAAAAGAGGAGGCAUGAAUAAUCCACCCCUUGUUUAGCAUAUCAUCAAGAAAUAACCAUAAAAAUAGGCAAUCUGCAGCCCCCAGGCUGCUCUGUCUAUGGAGUAGCUGUUCUUUUUUUCUUUUACUUUCUUAAUAAACUUCCUUUCACUUUGCACU